rnacentral:hammerhead_ribozyme from 1 species
AUCUAGACGACCAGUCCCAAAUAGGACGAAACGCUUGUCGUAGAU